rnacentral:rRNA from 1 species
UAUGCUGGAGGACCGAACGGGUUGGUGCUGCAAAACCUUCCGAUGACCUGUGUUUAGGAGUGAAAAGCUCAUCGAAUACCGUGAUAGCUGGUUCUCUCCGAAAUGCAUUUAGGUGCAGCCUGUAUUUGAAGGUCUUGAAGAGGUAGAGCUCUGGAAAGGCUAGGGGGAUCGAGAGAUCUUACCAAACCUUACUAAACUUCGAAUGCUUCAAGGAAUAUUGCAGAGUGGGACUACGGGAGCAAGUUUCGUAGUCAAAAGGAUAACAGUCCAGACUUCUGAUUAAGGUCCCUAAAGUAAUGCUAAGUGGAAAAAGAGGUGUCUUUACUUAUACAUCCAGGAGGUUUGCCUAGAAGCAGCAAUCCUUUAAAGAAAGCGUAACAGCUCACUGGACUAGCGAAGAUGCGCUGAAGAUGUAACGGGGCUAAGCAUUAUACCGAAAUCGAAGACCAGUGUAGUAAUACACUGUGUGGUAGGAGAGUGUUCUUACAGGAUGAAGCUACAUCGCGAGAUGUGGUCGACUAGUAAGAAGUAAAAAUGCUGACAUGAGUAACGCUUAUUGAUGAAAAUUCAAUAUAUCGAAACCCUAAGGAUUCCUACGCAACGUUCAUCGUCGUAGGGUUAGUCGGGACCUAAGGCUUAUCCAGAAAUGGAGAGUCGAUGGAUAACUGGUUAAUAUUCCAGUACUUAUAUAAAGAGUGAUGGAGUAACGCAUUGAGAUUUGUGAGAGCUCAUUAAGGAUUUGAGUCGAAAGAGUGAGGUUUUUAUGACGUUAGUCGUAAAGGUAGUUGCAGGAAAAUCCACAGCUAUUGAUACUGAGCUUGAUCGGAAUUUGAUUCCUCGGAAUUAGAAAUUCUCAUCGUUUUGGUGCCGAGAAAAACUUCUAAACUUAAUCUUUAUGUAACCCGUACUCAGAUCAGACACUUGUGGGGUGGUAGAGAAUACUAAGAUAAUCGAGAUAAUUAAUGGGUAAGGAACUUGGCAAAUUAGCGGACGUACUUUCGAAAUAAGUCCUGUCCCGAGUAAUCGGGAUCGCAGCGAAAGAGAUGGGGGGAACUGUUUAUCACAAACACAGCUCGUUGCUAACUCGUAAGAGGAUGUAUAACGGGUGAUGCCUGUCCAAUGCCAGAAUGUUAUGCUCUCUUGUGCAAGCUCGAGGGUUAAGCACUGGUGAAUGACGGCCGUAACUAUGACGGUCCUAAGGUAGCGAAAUUCCUUGUCAGGUAAGUUCUGACGCGCAUGAAUGGCAUAAUCAUCCCCAUGCUGUCUUACCCUUAAACUCGGUGAAAUUACAUUCCCGGUAAAAAUGCCGGGUAGUCACAGUUAGACGGAAAGACCCUGUGAAGCUUUACUGUAGAUUGAUAUUGGACUGUAGCAUGUUUUGCUCAGUAUAGGUGGGAGGCUUUGAUGUUUCGACUUCGGUUGGGGCGGAGCCAAAAGUGAGAUACCACCCAAAAUAUGUAGCAGUUCUAAUCCCUGUGUUGGGAGACAGUUUCAGUUGGACAGUUUACCUGGGGCGGGUGCCUCCUAAAAAGUAGCGGAGGCGUGCAAAGGUUUGCUUACUACGGAUGGAAACCGUGGUGAAUGUGUAUUCGCAUAAGCAAGCUUGACUGUGAGACUGACAGGUCGAACAGAUACGAAAGUAGGCGAAAGUGAUCCGGAUCUUCCGAGUGGAAGGGGAUCCGCUCAACGGAUAAAAGUUACUCCGGGGAUAACAGGCUAAUGGAAUCUAAGCGUUCACAGCGACGAUUCCGUUUGGCACCUCGAUGUCGACUCGUCGCAUCCUGGGGCUGUAGAAGGUCCCAAGGGUUGGGUUGUUCACCCAUUAAAGCGGGACGCG